UGAAGUCUGACCUGACACUGCUUUCCUUGCAGCUGAGAAGGAAAAAAAGUUUUCCCGAAUGUGACCCAGAUGCAUGGAAAUCAGGAUCCAGACAGGUGGGAAGACAGAGUUCCUCGAUUGCUGACAUCUCCACAUUUAGUCAGCACACCUUUAAAGACUUACUUAAGGGUCCUAGAAUGAAGGGUGGUAUUAAAAGAAUUAUAUUCUGUUCUUCUGAAUGAAGGAUGUGCCAGAACACUACAGAAACAGAAGCAGGAAUGAAAGAGGAGCUGAAAUCUGCUAGGAAUGAAUGGGGUGCUGAAAUUGUUCAUUGUAUUCUCAGAGCUUAGUAAAGCAAGUUUAACCCCUCUUCAAUGGAUGGGUUUGAUUUGUGUACAUACAGUGGUGUGCUGACGUUUCCUGUGCCUUUGGUGGGGGGGAGAUACAUCAAUUGGUAUUGCCUUUGCCAAAUCA